UGCUACCAUGAACACACUGAGAUCCACUCUCCUGCUGCUUCUGCUCCCUUCCUGGGUUCUGGCCCAGGUCACCCUGCUCGAAUCAGGACCUACUCUGGUGAAACCCACACAGACCCUGACACUGACCUGCUCCUUCUCUGGGUUCUCAUUAACCACUACUAAUAUGGGUGUUGGCUGGGUCCGACAGCUUUCUGAGAAGACACUGGAAUGGCUCACACACAUUUGGUGGGAUAAUGAUAAACACUUCAAUCCAUCUCUGAAGAAUCGGCUUACAAUUUCCAAAGACACCUCUAAAAACCAGGUGACCUUAACAAUGACCAGUAUGGGCCCCGAAGACACUGCCAAGUAUUACUGUGCAAAAAUAGCACAGAGACACAGUCCAAGACAUUCCAGUACAAGAACCCUGGCUGGAUUUCAAUAA